AGAGUUUGAUCAUGGCUCAGGACGAACGCUGGCGGCGUGCCUAACACAUGCAAGUCGAGCGGAGACAGUGAGUAGCUUGCUAUGAGCUGUUUUAGCGGCGGACGGGUGAGUAACGCGUGGAGCAACCUUUCCCAGACAGGGGAAUAACACACCGAAAGGUGUACUAAUACCGCAUAAGACCACGGGAUCACAUGGUUCUGGGGUAAAAGAUUUAUCGGUUUGGGGUGGGCUCGCGUCCUAUUAGGUAGUUGGUGAGGUAACCGG
rnacentral:rRNA from 1 species